UACGAAGGGGGCUAGCGUUGUUCGGAAUCACUGGGCGUAAAGCGCACGUAGGCGGAUGUGCCAGUCAGGGGUGAAAUCCGGAGCUCAACUCCGGAACUGCCUCUGAUACAGCACGUCUUGAGUUCGAGAGAGGUGGGUGGAAUUCCUAGUGUAGAGGUGAAAUUCGUAGAUAUUAGGAAGAACACCGGUGGCGAAGGCGGCCCACUGGCUCGAUACUGACGCUGAGGUGCGAAAGCGUGGGGAGCAAACAGG
rnacentral:rRNA from 1 species